UAGGCUCUGCCUUGUUAGUGGAACGUAGUGUAUAUUUGAGCCAACACUAUUACAUAGGGUGAUCUACUCUAGCCGGUGGCACAAAAGCCCUCUGGAUUAGGGACUUGUAAAACCGGUAGGCGAACACCCAACCUGCGGAGAGCGGGCUGCAAUAUGUAUUUCGUGAAACGGCAAGGCGGGGCUUCU
rnacentral:other from 7 species